rnacentral:rRNA from 1 species
GUGAGGAAUUUUCCGCAAUGGGCGAAAGCCUGACGGAGCAAUGCCGCGUGAAGGAUGAAGGCCUAUGGGUUGUAAACUUCUUUUCUCAGAAAAGAAUUAUGACGGUAUCUGAGGAAUAAGCAUUGGCUAACUCUGUGCCAGCAGCCGCGGUAAGACAGAGGAUGCAAGCGUUAUCCGGAAUGAUUGGGCGUAAAGCGUCUGUAGGUUGUUUAAAAAGUAUUCUGUCAAAGAUUAGGGCUUAACCCUAGAUAGGCAGAAUAAACUUUUAAGCUAGAGUUUGGUAGAGGCAGAGGGAAUUCCCGGUGGAGCGGUGAAAUGCGUAGAUAUCGGGAGGAACACCAAAGGCGAAGGCACUCUGCUGGGCCAAUACUAACACUGAGAGACGAAAGCGAGGGGAGCAAAUGGGAUUAGAUACCCUGGUAGUCC